GUUCCAGUUACAGCUAUAUCAGAGAAUGAGUUAAUCUCCUCAGAAAUCACUAAAUACUACUCUGAGGGGCUUAGAAAUUAACAGGUUGUUUAUAUAAUUGGCCUUAAAUGAGGUGAGAGUGAAGAGACUAGAGCCAUCUCUGGAAAACAUCAUUAUCCCAUUCCCCGGGAAGCUACCCUCUGGAACUCAAGAUUUGACCAUAUCUGUUUUGAGGAUUCAUUAUGAACAAAGAAGUCUCCCAGGUGUGAAGUUUUUCAACAUGAGUGGCCUCGGGGACAGUUCAUCCGACCCUGCUAACCCAGACUCACAUAAGAGGAAAGGAUCGCCAUGUGACACACUGGCAUCAAGGUAGGAACACUCCUCUUAGUCUAUUUUUGGCAGAGCUGCUUUAUUACUUUCACUGCCACUUCAGAGCUUUUGUUUAAUCUACUCCAAGUUCAGUGGCUUUCUUUGAGUCUUUCAUACUCACCAUGUUGUCUUCCUUCCCCCAGGGUCUUUGCACAUGUUUCUCCCUCAAUCCAGCUUGCUUCCUCUUGAUUUCCUUUAGUUAACACCUACUCAUCCUUCAGAUGCCAGCUUAGUCAUUACAUACUUAAAGAGAGCCUUCUCUUCCUUCCAUAACUGUUAGAUCAAGUUCCUCCAUUCAUGUAUCUGUCUCAGAUGUUUUUAUAGCCAUGAUCCAUAAUUGCAGAUUUUUACUAGUGUGAUUAU
rnacentral:lncRNA from 10 species